rnacentral:rRNA from 1 species
CUGCGUGGAAGGGCCAUCGCUCAACGGAUAAAAGCUACCCUGGGGAUAACAGGCUUAUCUCCCCCAAGAGUCCACAUCGACGGGGAGGUUUGGCACCUCGAUGUCGGCUCAUCACAUCCUGGGGCUGUAGUAGGUCCCAAGGGUUGGGCUGUUCGCCCAUUAAAGUGGUACGCGAGCUGGGUUCAGAACGUCGUGAGACAGUUCGGUCCCUAUCCGUCGCAGGCGUAGGAAAUUUGAGAAGACCUGUCCUUAGUACGAGAGGACCGGGAUGGACGUACCUCUGGUGUACCAGUUGUUCUGCCAAGGGCAUGGCUGGGUAGCUAUGUAUGGAAUGGAUAAGCGCUGAAAGCAUCUAAGCGCGAAGCCAACUUCAAGAUAAGAUUUCCCACCGCAAGGGUAAGACCCCAGAAAGACUAUCUGGUUGAUAGGUCGAAGGUGUAAGUGCAGCAAUGUAUUUAGCUUAUCGAUACUAAUAGGUCGAGGACUUGACCAAU